UCAACUCAGCAGAGAGAAAAUAGGUAGAAAGUCACUUUUAAAACUGUUAAUUUUACAUAGUUUCCAGGCAAUCUAAAGACUGGCACAUAGUGAUGCUGCAUUGUUUAGAAUACUUUGAUAGGCUCUGAGAGUACAAUGGUAAAUGAGUAUACAACUAAUUAGUAAGUCAUUCUGAAAUACUCUUAUAUGAGUAUCGGAGCAAAGUCUAUUCACUGCUAUUUAUUUCUGGGUUUAAUUUGCUAACUCUGCUGAAUGUAUAUUGUAGUUACAAAAUAUUUAUCACAGACAGAAAAAAAACUUCCACCAUUGUUACCUUUAGCUGGCUACCCUAAAAGUAAACUGAGUUUUAUAGUGGACUAGUAACAGCCAGUGAUUAAAAAACAAAUGUUACCUGAAGCUUAGUAGCAUUCAUAGAGCUAGAGCAGAACGGGGAGUUCAGUUUCAGAAGCUGCAAAUUCAACAUUUCACUGAAAUGUAAACCUAAGAGCAAGUUCUUUUUUAAAGACAAACCAUUAAUUUAAGAGAACGCGUUCCUGACAUAUUUAGGUAUGUCCGUGUUAAAGUAAGUCUUUAUUCUUGAAAGCAUGUGAUUUGCAGAAGCAGACCGCUUUGAAAAGAUGCCUGUUGAGAUCCUAUAUCUCGUAAUGUUCAAUAGUAUCAAUAAAAAAUAAAAAUAUGACUAGAUUUUAAAAAUUCAAAUAGAGACAGUAUUUCAGAUUCUUCUAACUGUUAAACUUGGGAUCAGUAACAUACAGACAGGAAACCCUUCAGACCUCCUGGCAUGCCCUGAUUCCUGAAAAUUGAGUAGUAUUGCAGUGAGGGCAGGGUCCUGGACUUUUGUCCCAUCCAGUCAUAGCAGGGCAGGCAGCACUGACUAUGCAAGGAAAGUAAAAGACACUGGUAGAAAAGUAACAGUGGUUUUAAAAUGGUAUCGAAGAAAAUACUUCCGUAUGGCCAAUAUGCAACAGAGUGAGCUUUCCACCUGUAAACUGUUCGCUGUUGGUCCUGCUACCACUCAGAGACUGCUUCUGUCUGGAAGGUUUUGAUUAUUUACAUUCCUUGCUUUCAGACUUUAUCAUGGAAGCUGCUUCCUGUAAAUAGUUUGUAAUGUGGAAAUAAAUGUAUUUUCCUAAUUGAUGAGCACACCCAGCCAAAAGCACAGAAAGGGACAAAGUUACUUUGUCAGCCUUGUCAGAGCAAUGUGUGGACAAGUAGUCCUGUAGAAAGAAAAUCAUCAGAGGCUAAAGAGAAUGAAGUUUCCUGUUAGAAUUAAUAAUUCAGCACAUGAAAUCUAUUUAACUGGCCUUUCUUAAGUUAACAAAUCCCAAACCUGUUUAAUGCUUCAAGUUUUCAUUUCAACAUUUUUUCAUUAGUAGGAUAUUUGGAACCAGCAGAAAUGGAAGGAUACUCUUCAUUUCCAACUGCACCAAAAAUGAACCACAUUUCAACAGAAAAACAAAACAAAAGAAAACAAAACAAAAAACAACAACCAACAAACAAUUCACUCUCGUGUUUACCAAGCUUUCUGUAACUUGAGAUUGUGAUAUGUGUACAUUAAUGUUCACUGGAAAAUAAUAUACUGGAACAGUGUAAUUAGCCUUACAAAAUUAUAGAUACCUUACCUAUAUGCCCGUUAAGACUUUUCAUGAGAGAAAGCCAAAUAUUUUGUUGUUCUGUUUCACUGUGACAAAUAGCAGCAAAAGCAGCUUUAGACCUCGACUGAUGAGUAAGACUUACAUUAAUAAAAUUCUCCUACAACUAGAGAAUUAUUGUAUUAGCAGACAUGGUAUAUAAGUGCUGUUUUUAACUUGCCACUAGACUUUAGCCUAGUGGUUACAAUUGUGACAUGGCUACUGCUACCCCCUAAUUUCCCAACCGUUUCUCUUUUUUAAAUCUGUGUGACAGAAAAGCAGUAGUGGAUGAUGACAUGGCUGUAACAACUUCCUGUGUUGGAGCAAGCAUGCAUUCCAAACUACUGUGAUACUAGAAGUGAUGCCAUAUGUCUUGUGGUGAUGCAAUUAGAUUGGGGGAAAAAAACAACACCCCCAAACCUGCAAACUGUAGAACUGACAGAAGUCUGGAAACAAGCCUCAAGAAACAAAGUAAGUUAAAAUCUCAUUUGACUAUUCAGUGUCUCCCUCCUAUAGAAAGUAUGUUCCCAUUGACCUGAUCAUGUACCAUCUAUAAAACCUGCAGCAAAGUAUUUGAUCUUUUACCUGAACCUGUUCUUUGAGUUUAAGGAUAAAUUUUCCUGCUCCCUUCCACUUGCUUUGGGCCUGAAACACACACUCUUGGUCAGAGAGAAUUCUCUGAGAUGGUUUAGAUGUUGAGGACUUUUUGUUUGCUGGCUCUUUUGUCACCUCUUCCAAGAGGACAUAAUCGCUUGGAUUUGGAUUGCUCAGAAUGCUGUAGGAGUAUUUUGCUUUACAAAGAGUCUGUUUAAAAGCAGAAAGAAAAAGAAGGAAAAGAAAAAGGAGGCAUUACUUCGGAGGCAGUUUACUAGACAGAUUGCUCAGCUAGUGAUGAGAACAAAACCCACCUCUUUUGCAUGAAAUCAGCCUACACACUACAGACCCUGUUAAUGGAAGCAGCGUGCUGUUUACCUGCUGUAUGACAUCCUGAGCCGUGCUGAAGCGGGGAGCUUUGAUGACGGUGCGUGGUUGCUCUGGGGAGACAUCAUGUACCUGAACAAAGAAACUGUCAUCCUCAGAGGUGAUGGCUACAUCUUCCUUUGCUUCUUGAAAGACAUUUCUCUCAUUUAAAUUCUAGAG